GUCCAUGCCGUAAACGAUGUACACUAGGAGUUGGCGGUCUCCGUUAGCUCCGUAGCAAACGCAUUAAGUGUACCGCCUGGGGAGUACGGCCGCAAGGUUGAAACUCAAAGAAAUUGACGGGGCCCGCACAAGCGGUGGAGUACGUGGUUUAAUUCGAUGAUAAACGAAGAACCUUACCAGGGUUUGACAUGCAUUCGCUAUUUGCCGAAAAGGUAGAGUUCCCGUAAGGGACGUUUGCACAGGUGCUGCAUGGCUGUCGU
rnacentral:rRNA from 1 species